AUGUGGCUAGUCCUGGACUGGCACCAUCACCUGCAUCAUCAGCAACAGUGGAUGGCAGGUAUGGACAACACCCAGGUUCUUCAAAUACACAACAAGAAAAUGCCAAUGCAAUUCCAUCUCCUAUUGUGCAAGCUCCUGGUGGACAUGCGCACCAACCGCUUAGUAUGGCAUCUCUACAUGCAGCUGUUGCGGCCGCACAAGGUACUACGAUGGUUGAACCAUAGUUUGGAAGACCUGCUACCACACUUGGCCCUGCAAUUCCUAGAGACCCUCCAAAAUCAACAACAAAAGGGAGGGUAA
rnacentral:rRNA from 1 species